rnacentral:rRNA from 1 species
GACGAACGCUGGCGGCGUGCUUAACACAUGCAAGUCGAACGGAAAGGCCCUGCUUUUGUGGGGUGCUCGAGUGGCGAACGGGUGAGUAACACGUGAGUAACCUGCCCUUGACUUUGGGAUAACUUCAGGAAACUGGGGCUAAUACCGGAUAGGAGCUCCUGCUGCAUGGUGGGGGUUGGAAAGUUUCGGCGGUUGGGGAUGGACUCGCGGCUUAUCAGCUUGUUGGUGGGGUAGUGGCUUACCAAGGCUUUGACGGGUAGCCGGCCUGAGAGGGUGACCGGCCAAAUUGGGACUGGGAUACGGCCCAGACCCCUACGGGGGGAAGGAGGGGGGAAUAUUGCAAAAUGGGCGGAAGCCUGAUGCAGCAACGCCGGGUGCGGGAUGGCGGCUUUCGGGUUGAAAACCGCUUUCGCCUGUGACGAAGGGGGAGUGACGGUAAUGGGUAAAGAAGCACCGGCUAACUACGU